GAUGAACGCUGGCGGCGUGCUUAACACAUGCAAGUCGAACGAAGCACUUUAUUUGAUUUCCUUCGGGAUUGAUUAUUUUGUGACUGAGUGGCGGACGGGUGAGUAACGCGUGGGUAACCUGCCUUGUACAGGGGGAUAACAGUUGGAAACGGCUGCUAAUACCGCAUAAGCGCACGGCAUCGCAUGAUGCAGUGUGAAAAACUCCGGUGGUAUAAGAUGGACCCGCGUUGGAUUAGCUAGUUGGUGAGGUAACGGCCCACCAAGGCGACGAUCCAUAGCCGACCUGAGAGGGUGACCGGCCACAUUGGGACUGAGACACGGCCCAAACUCCUACGGGAGGCAGCAGUGGGGAAUAUUGCACAAUGGGCGAAAGCCUGAUGCAGCGACGCCGCGUGAGCGAAGAAGUAUUUCGGUAUGUAAAGCUCUAUCAGCAGGGAAGAUAAUGACGG
rnacentral:rRNA from 1 species